rnacentral:rRNA from 1 species
UUCCGCAAUGGACGAAAGUCUGACGGAGCAAUGCCGCGUGAGUGAAGAAGGUUUUCGGAUCGUAAAACUCUGUUGUUAGAGAAGAACAAGGAUGAGAGUAACUGCUCAUCCCCUGACGGUAUCUAACCAGAAAGCCACGGCUAACUACGUGCCAGCAGCCGCGGUAAUACGUAGGUGGCAAGCGUUGUCCGGAUUUAUUGGGCGUAAAGCGAGCGCAGGCGGUUCUUUAAGUCUGAUGUGAAAGCCCCCGGCUCAACCGGGGAGGGUCAUUGGAAACUGGAGAACUUGAGUGCAGAAGAGGAGAGUGGAAUUCCAUGUGUAGCGGUGAAAUGCGUAGAUAUAUGGAGGAACACCAGUGGCGAAGGCGACUCUCUGGUCUGUAACUGACGCUGAGGCUCGAAAGCGUGGGGAGCAAACAGGAUUAGAUACCCUGGUAGUCCACGCUGUAAACGAUGAGUGCUAAGUGUUGGAGGGUUUCCGCCCUUCAGUGCUGCAGCUAACGCAUUAAGCACUCCGCCUGGGGAGUACGACCGCAAGGUUGAAACUCAAAGGAAUUGACGGGGGCCCGCACAAGA